rnacentral:lncRNA from 1 species
AAAUUUUCAGGUUAAAAAUUUAGGAAUACAAAAAAAAAUGAAAAAUAUAUUUAAAAAACACUUAAUAUCACAACAGGUUUUAAUUCAAUUGUUAUACGUAGAAAGCUAUCCAUAAUAAUAAAAUGCAAGAAUGUAGUUGAAGGGAUUCGAACCCAUGACCUAUAAAUUAUUUCACAACGGUUAUUUUCUUUAAUUGUUGUUAUAUGUAAUGCACUACCUAACUUAUAACCACG